CCUACGGGGGGCAGCAGUGGGGAAUAUUGGGCAAUGGGCGCAAGUCUGAACCAGCAAUGCCGCGUGAAGGAAGAAGGCUUUAGGGUUGUAAACUUGUUUUGACAGGGAAGAGUAGAAGACGGUACCUGUCGAAUUAGCAAUGGCUAACUACGUGCCAGCAGCCGCGGUAAUACGUAGGUGGCAAGCGUUGUCCGGGUUUACUGGGUGUAACGGGCGUGUAGCCGGGUUGACAAGUCAGAUGUGAAAUCCUGCGGCUUAACCGCGGAACUGCAUUUGAAACUGUUGAUCUUGAGUACAGGUGAGGCAGACGGAAUGCCUAGUGUAGCGGUGAAAUGCAUAGAUAUUAGAAGGAACACC
rnacentral:rRNA from 1 species